CCUACGGGUGGCAGCAGUGAGGAAUAUUGGUCAAUGGGCUUACGCCUGAACCAGCCAAGUCGCGUGAGGGAAGACUGCCCUAUGGGUUGUAAACCUCUUUUGUCAGGGAGCAACGCCGGCUACGUGUAGCCGGACUGAGAGUACCUGAAGAAAAAGCAUCGGCUAACUCCGUGCCCGAAGCCGCGGUAAUACGGAGGAUGCGAGCGUGAUCCGGUUUUACUGGGUGUAAGGGGAGCGUAGCCGGCAGUGCAAGUCGGGAGGGAAAGGCCGGGGCUCAACCCCCGGACCGCUCUGGAAAGUGGACGGCUGGAGUGCAGGAGAGGUAAGUGGAAUGCCUAGUGUAGCGGUGAAAUGCGUAGAUAUUAGGAGGAACACCAGUGGCGAAGGCGGCUUACUGGACUGUAACUGACGUUGAGGCUCGAAAGCGUGGGGAGCAAACAGGAUUAGAUACCCUGGUAGUC
rnacentral:rRNA from 1 species